GAUGAACGCUGGCGGCGUGCCUAACACAUGCAAGUCGAACGUGAGAGUGAAACAAGUACUUCGGUAUGAGUUUUGCUUGAAAGUGGCGAACGGGUGAGUAACACGUAGGUUACCUGCCUCAAAGUGGGGGAUAACCAUUGGAAACGGUGGCUAAUACCGCAUAAUUCCAUUCUUGCGGGAGCAAGGGUGGGUAAAGCUCAGGCGCUUUGAGAGGGGCCUGCGUCCGAUUAGCUAGUUGGUGGGGUAAUGGCCUACCAAGGCUGUGAUCGGUAGCUGGUCUGAGAGGAUGAUCAGUCACAUGGGAACUGAGACACGGUCCCAACUCCUACGGGGGGCAGCGGUGAGGAAUAUUGGGCAAUGGGCGAAAGCCUGACCCAGCAACGCCGCGUGGAGGAUGAAGGUUCUAGGAUUGUAAACUCCUUUUCUGAGGGAAGAGCAAGGACGGUACCUCAGGAAUAAGUCACGGCUAACUACGUGCCAGCAGCCGCGGUAACACGUAGGUGGCAAGCGUUAUCCGGAUUUAUUGGGCGUAAAGCGCACGCAGGCGGUCGAUCAAGUUCGGCGUGAAAUUUCUCGGCUCAACCGGGAGGGGUCGUUGAAAACUGAUUGGCUUGAGGCAAUGAGAGGGGUGCGGAAUUCCCGGUGUAGUGGUGGAAUGCGUAGAUAUCGGGAGGAACACCAGUGGCGAAAGCGGCACCCUGGCAUUGUUCUGACGCUCAUGUGCGAAAGCGUGGGGAGCAAACGGGAUUAGAUACCCCGGUAGUCCACGCUGUAAACGAUGAACACUAGGUGUAGGCAGCGUAAAAAACUGUUUGUGCCAAAGCCAACGCGAUAAGUGUC
rnacentral:rRNA from 1 species